AUUUUAAAAGCACUCGCUGGACCUUUUACUAUUGGCCUAUUGAGCCAUCAAGAAAGGGAAGAGUAAAGACACCACUUUUGGGUGAAGAGACAGUAUAUCAUUUUGUUUGUUUCAAUCGGUGGUGUGACAAGU